rnacentral:rRNA from 1 species
AUUGAACGCUGGCGGUAUGCUUAAGACAUGCAAGUCGAACGGUAACAGGUUAAGCUGACGAGUGGCGGACGAGUGAGUAACGCGUGGGAAUCUACCUUGUAGUGGGGGAUAAGCCAGGGAAACUUGGACUAAUACCGCAUACGCCCUAAGGGGGAAAGGCGCAAGUCGCUAUAAGAUGAGCCCGCGUCUGAUUAGGUAGUUGGUGGGGUAAAGGCCUACCAAGCCGACGAUCAGUAGCUGGUCUGAGAGGAUGAUCAGCCACGUCGGGACUGAGACACGGCCCGGACUCCUACGGGAGGCAGCAGUCGGGAAUAUUGGACAAUGGGGGAAACCCUGAUCCAGCAAUACCGCGUGUGUGAAGAAGGCCUGCGGGUUGUAAAGCACUUUUGUUGGGGAAGAAACCGGCCGGGUUAAUACCCUGGUUGAAUGACGGUACCCAAAGAAUAAGCACCGGCUAACUUCGUG